rnacentral:rRNA from 1 species
GAUGAACGCUGGCGGCGUGCCUAAUACAUGCAAGUCGAGCGAACAGACGAGGAGCUUGCUCCUCUGACGUUAGCGGCGGACGGGUGAGUAACACGUGGAUAACCUACCUAUAAGACUGGGAUAACUUCGGGAAACCGGAGCUAAUACCGGAUAAUAUAUUGAACCGCAUGGUUCAAUAGUGAAAGUCGGUUUUGCUGUCACUUAUAGAUGGAUCCGCGCCGCAUUAGCUAGUUGGUAAGGUAACGGCUUACCAAGGCAACGAUGCGUAGCCGACCUGAGAGGGUGAGCGGCCACACUGGAACUGAGACACGGUCCAGACUCCUACGGGAGGCAGCAGUAGGGAAUCUUCCGCAAAGGGCGAAAGCCUGACGGAGCAACGCCGCGUGAGUGAUGAAGGUCUUCGGAUCGUAAAACUCUGUUAUUAGGGAAGAACAAAUGUGUAAGUAACUAUGCACGUCUUGACGGUACCUAAUCAGAAAGCCACGGCUAACUACGUG